AGAGUUUGAUCCUGGCUCAGAACGAACGCUGGCGGCAUGCCUAACACAUGCAAGUCGAACGAACUCUUCGGAGUUAGUGGCGCACGGGUGCGUAACGCGUGGGAAUCUGCCCUUGGGUACGGAAUAACUCAGAGAAAUUUGUGCUAAUACCGUAUAAUGACUUCGGUCCAAAGAUUUAUCGCCCAAGGAUGAGCCCGCGUAAGAUUAGCUAGUUGGUGGGGUAAAAGCCUACCAAGGCGACGAUCUUUAGCUGGUCUGAGAGGAUGAUCAGCCACACUGGGACUGAGACACGGCCCAGACUCCUACGGGAGGCAGCAGUGGGAAUAUUGGACAAUGGGCGAAAGCCUGAUCCAGCAGUGCCGCGUGAGUGAUGAAGGCCUUAGGGUUGUAAAGCUCUUUUACCCGGGAUGAUAAUGACAGUACCGGGAGAAUAAGCUCCGGCUAACUCCGUGCCAGCCGCCGCGGUAAUAC
rnacentral:rRNA from 1 species